UUGACUGAUCUAAUAAAGAACAUGGAUGCUGUUUUUCAUUCCAAACAAGCUGGAUCAGGCAAAUUGAUGCUUAACAGCUUAUAUAGAUGUGUCCCUUUGAUUCUUGAACAGUUGCAGGACUGGGAGGAUGGUUUAAGUGAGAGUGAUGCUGAUGGAUCUUUCUUGCAUGAGAAUUGGAACAAAGAUUUAAGACUUUUUAGUGAUGGGGAAGAUGGUGGACAACAACUCCUUCAGUUGUUUAUAUUGCGGGUGGAAGCUGAGUUGCAAGCUAGUUCUAGUGAUAACCUUGCAUACAACCUGCAGCUUAUAGAUUCUUUGAAGGCACAGGUAAGCUGCUUGUUCGGUGGUUAUACUGUAAAACCAAUUUCAUUUCCCCUGGAAACAAAACAGC
rnacentral:misc_RNA from 1 species